rnacentral:tRNA from 1 species
GCCUGAGUGACUCAGAUGGUUGAGUGUCUGCCUUCAGCUCAGGUUGUGAUCCUGCCGUCCUGGGAUCGAGUCCCACAUCAGGCU